rnacentral:rRNA from 1 species
CCCGAAAAAAAGAGAUUUUUUUUAGUCAACAAAAUUUAUAACGUGGAAUAGUAGUUGAGACUAAGAAUGAAUAGAUAUUAUAGUCGGGCUUUUAAAUAUCUGGUUAGUUGGUUAAAAAAUUUAGUUUGAURUUUAGUUGGUUAYUUAAAUUGGUAGAUUACGGUUAAUUAAAUGUUAUWAUGAAGAGGGAUUAUCUUCUUUAUUUUAAGUGGGCAUAAUUAUAAUAUUUUAUUUGCCUUUAGUAGGUUUAAAAUUAGCUAUCUGAAAGAGUUAGUUAUAUUUCUGGGGUGGUUUACUUAAUUUAUGAAAAUUUGUUAAUAAAGCUUUAUUUAUUUGUUAGAUUUAUAAAUUUAAUAAUUUGAGUAUAAGUAGAUUUUAAAGUUAAAUUAUUGAUAUAUUGUAUAUUAAUUUUAUGAAUUCGACAAAUAUUUAUUUAAUUGUUUAUCAAAAACAUUUCUUUGAGUGAUUAUUCUAAGUAAAGUCUGCUCACUGAUUUAUUAAAGGGCCGCAGUAUUUUGACUGUGCAAAGGUAGCAUAAUCAUUAGUCUCUUAAUUAGAGAAUGGUAUGAAUGGCUAAAUAAUUAAGUUUUUUAUUAAUGUUGGGGUUGAAUUUGAAAUUAAAGUGAAAAUGCUUUAAUAUAUCUAGGGGACGAUAAGACCCUAUAGAUCUUAAUUGUUAGAUGAUUUAAUUGGGGAAAUUAAAGAGUAAUAUUAACCUCUUUAGYAGUAAUUUAUAUUUAAUAAGUAGGCCUGUAAUAGGGGGUUUAAAAUAAGUUACCUUAGGGAUAACAGCGUUAUUAAUUUUGAGAGUUCAUAUCGAUAAAUUAGUUUGCGACCUCGAUGUUGAAUUAUGAAUUCUAUUUGGGGCAGAAUUUAAGAAAAGAAGGUCUGUUCGACCUUUAAAUUCAUACAUGAUUUGAGUUCAAACCGGCGUAAGCCAGGUUGGUUUCUAUCUUUAGAAUAAGGAAGGGAAUUUAGUACGAAAGGAUUGAUUUC